rnacentral:rRNA from 1 species
AUUGAACGCUGGCGGCAUGCUUUACACAUGCAAGUCGAACGGUAACAGGCCGCAAGGUGCUGACGAGUGGCGAACGGGUGAGUAAUGCAUCGGAACGUGCCCAGUCGUGGGGGAUAACUACUCGAAAGAGUAGCUAAUACCGCAUACGAUCUGUGGAUGAAAGCGGGGGACCGGAAGGCCUCGCGCGAGUGGAGCGGGCGAUGUCAGAUUAGGUAGUUGGUGGGGUAAAGGCUCACCAAGCCAACGAUCUGUAGCUGGUCUGAGAGGACGACCAGCCACACUGGGACUGAGACACGGCCCAGACUCCUACGGGAGGCAGCAGUGGGGAAUUUUGGACAAUGGGCGCAAGCCUGAUCCAGCAAUGCCGCGUGCAGGAAGAAGGCCUUCGGGUUGUAAACUGCUUUUGUACGGAACGAAACGGCUCUGGUUAAUACCCGGGGCUAAUGACGGUACCGUAAGAAUAAGCACCGGCUAACUACGUG